UAAGUUUCAUCAAUAUUCGUAUAGGUAUUCCAUCCCCACCAAUAGGCAAUUGCAUAGAGGAAUAAAGCCUCCACGAGAUCAUGAAUACAGCAGGCUCUCGCUUUAUAUGUUUUAGUAGGCAGAAGAACACCCAAAGGGCAGUUUAUUCUACGGAGCCAAGGGCAAUAACAGACGGAGUACGUCGUCGAAAUAAGACGAUCCAAGGAUUAAGGAUAAAAAUAUCAAAAUUAAGCGAAUUGUCAAUUAGCACAAGACCCGAUAAUCAUUCACAGAGCAGCUUUGAAGUCCUUGUGUGAUCUGUUGGAAAAACAACCAGCCAGUCAUGAACAAGACCAUCUCCUAGCAGUUGAUAAUAAAGAACACAACCUGUUUCUAUUCUCACAGAAAAUCGCAAGGAUUUCGGUGAUUCGUCUGCGAGCAUCAUCGCCUCUCCUUCGCGGUUGAGACACCCAAAGCUUUACUCCUACCAUCAUUCGCAACGCGUCUGGGAUUUGCUUUCUACCAGUGAGGAUUCCGCAAAAUCCUUAAAACGUUCACUCUGAUGCACUUCAUAUCGUCACAAAUACAUGGGGACCUGAAUAAGAAUGGAUCGUGUGCUAAGACCCGAUAAUGCCAUUCUCUUACAAGUCGCUAGUUUUUCAAUUACCAGGACGGCACUCUCUCACACACUUUGAUUGGCUUCUAACUCGAGAAACUGCACUGCAUCUUCACGGCGCGCAACUUGCAGACAUCCCAACCUAGUCAACGGUCACAUUAUUUACUACCUGGACAAAGGAUGUGAUCCUAUAGUGGCACGCGGAGGCAGACGGGUCCAAGAUGUCGACCGUAUAUCAUUGUCGAAGGGACACUCGAAUCACCCUUGCCCAACUCCGGUCUGGUUUAUGCAGUAUGCUGAGCUCGGGGUUGCGAUAGGAUCAAUUCAGAAAUGCGGAAAUGGCUAACCGCAGUCUAUCUGCGCAUGCUCCAUACCAUCGAUCUGACACCAGCUGCAUUCUGGAGCCCAGCAAUGAAAAUUCUUCUCCCCUUAAGGCUUGGUUUGGGGUAGAAAAUACAACUGCAUUCUUACAACAAUAAAAUUAGUGAAAUAAUCGGCGAGUGUGAGGCCAAGAGAGCGUACGCCGUCAAUGGGCGCACUGCACAGUGCUUCCGGUCUCUGAGUCGUCGUAAACCGCCAUUUCUGAGUUCAGCUGAGGUAGGAACUUGUUUAGUCUGUGGCACCACGCGUCAUGGAGCUGAGCUGGUCCCACUCGGUAGUUCUUCUAGCCCGAUUUUGUCUUCGCAAGUGUGAAUAGUUAUCCAAAUAGAAUCGCUGUGAACAUUGUUGAGCGUCACUUUUUAUUGUGUCCCAUUGAACAGAAGAUCUAUUUAUGUUCCGAUCAAAGUUUUCAAGCCAGAUUGGUACCGCAAUAGAAAGAUGCUGUGCUGCCUCACCACCAGCAUAUGGCUUUCUUCGUGGUGUUGCCGCAUGGAUGGCAUGAGAUGGCAGCCUGUAGCCCCGUGUGCUUUAUAGUCUCCCACCGAUGUCGGCUCCCCAAACACUGCCGGUUUGCGAGUUGAUGAAUUUGCUCAUGGCACUUUAUUCCUUGCAAGUGGUGACGGUAUGUGAUGAGAUGGAGAAGAGACUGUUCAAUGUGGCUCCAAGAUCUUGUGGUGGUCCAAAGUGGAGGCUAGGAUGUCUUGCAAAAAGGUCGAAAGGUUAACCGUACGCGUGCCUUCGUUAAGCCAUCUGCAGCUUGAUACGACCUAUCAAAAGAUCACAGUGGUUGAAACCAACCACACAAACAGACAAAUAAAACACGGCUAUUACCGACCUCAUUCAGAUAGCAGUGUAUCGAUAACGAUGUUAACGAGGGAUUAGUGUUAACAAGAUAGAAUUUAUUGUCAGCCCUAGUUGUUGUCUUAACAGCAUAAAAACUCCCCAAAGAGUUUUGGGGGAUGUUGUUGAAGUGACAGUCCUUGGCCUGAUACAAAUCUGAUUCAUUCCGGUUACGUAAAUCCGAUUGUCGCGGGAACCCCAUCUCCUGCUCAGUCAUCUUUGGCAUUAUAAAUAUCGUCCUCGAAAUUUCACUGCAAUCCCUUAUUUAUCGACGUAAUUUACACAAACCUUCAAUGACCUGCAUUACCGGCAAUGAACUACACUUGCGUCACCUGCUGGCAAAAAAACCGUAAGCUAAUGUGAAAACCUUAAUAACAUAACAAUCCACCAAAAUGCACUACCGGAAAUUACUAGAAUGUGCGCGCUGAACCGGUUGGUAACAUUUUUCCCUCAACGCAUCAUUGCCAGCGACUACAGCGACACGCCGCGCCGGUGCAAAUGUCAAUAUUACUGGAAUGCACUACCGGAAAUCAUUUGUACUACUAAAAGCACAGGGUGGUAUGAUUUUUUUUUUGUUUUUUUUUGAUUUUGUUUUUUCGAUUUUGUCAGAUAUUUGACAUUCGUACUUUAGUUCGUUCGUUCGCAGUCGUCAGUUCAGUUCGUUGUGAAGAGUUUUUUGCAGAUGGAAUGUGAAUUUACGCAUCGCUUAAAUAACCUUAAUUGUGCAAAAUAAAGUACGUGUAAACGUUUCGUUAACGAAAAACACAUGUUUAUAACAAGACCACGCUAUCGAAAUUGUGAAUAAUUCCAACUGAAACUGCAUCCUCUCUGUGUGUGUGUUUAGCACACGUGUAGUGGAAUAAUUAGCUGAAAGAUCAAUAUCUAAAAAACAUCAACAACACAUACUAAUUAGCAACAACAACAACAACAACCAAAAUUCAACACUUACAAUAAAUAAACAAAAGUUUUAUUUCUUCUGUUUGUGAGAAACAAUGCUAAAAAGGAUCGGCAAAAAUAUUUUAAUAUUUUUCAAAAGCAAAAAAUUUUUAUGAUUUUUUGAAUUUUGUUUCGUUUUUUUUUUUUGUUUUUGCUCGAUAAGAUUCGUGCCACGACGAUCACUUCAGAGGCAGCUAAUCAAUUGGUGCGCAAAGUGAGGUGUGCGUAAAUAACGGAACGAGACGCGUUGCGGCUCUUGAGCCCCUCGACGAAAAUAAAGCGGAAAAAGAAAAACAAUAAAAAACACAACAACAACACAUAUGGUGUACACAAAUAAA
rnacentral:lncRNA from 1 species